CUAUGCGCCUUGCCAGCCCGCUCAGGUGUGCCCAGCCCCGCGGUAAUACGUAGGGGGCGAGCGUUGUCCGGAAUCACUGGGCGUAAAGGGCGCGUAGGCGGUUUAAUAAGUCAGUGGUGAAAACUGAGGGCUCAACCCUCAGCCUGCCACUGAUACUGUUAGACUUGAGUAUGGAAGAGGAGAAUGGAAUUCCUAGUGUAGCGGUGAAAUGCGUAGAUAUUAGGAGGAACACCAGUGGCGAAGGCGAUUCUCUGGGCCAAGACUGACGCUGAGGCGCGAAAGCGUGGGGAGCAAACAGG
rnacentral:rRNA from 1 species